AACGAACGCUGGCGGCAUGCCUAACACAUGCAAGUCGAACGAGACCUUCGGGUCUAGUGGCGCACGGGUGCGUAACGCGUGGGAACCUGCCUUUAGGUUCGGAAUAACUCCCCGAAAGGGGUGCUAAUACCGGAUAAUGUCUUCGGACCAAAGAUUUAUCGCCUUUGGAUGGGCCCGCGUUGGAUUAGCUAGUUGGUAGGGUAAAAGCCUACCAAGGCGACGAUCCAUAGCUGGUCUGAGAGGAUGAUCAGCCACACUGGGACUGAGACACGGCCCAGACUCCUACGGGAGGCAGCAGUGGGGAAUAUUGGACAAUGGGCGAAAGCCUGAUCCAGCAAUGCCGCGUGAGUGAUGAAGGCCUUAGGGUUGUAAAGCUCUUUUACCCGGGAUGAUAAUGACAGUACCGGGAGAAUAAGCUCCGGCGAACUCCGU
rnacentral:rRNA from 1 species